UGUUUUAUCAUCAUUAAUAUUAGAUGCCAUUAUGCAUUCUAUGUCUAGAACUAUUGAUAUUUUAUAAUUAGGUCAAUUUGUAUUGUUUUUAUUUUUUUGUUUUUUGUUUUUUUUUUCAAUAUUCUAUUAUGUUGAAAACAUAUUAGAAGAUAGUAGGCAGAAAAGUGAGGAAGGUGAAAGCACAUUGCCAGUACCUUGCAACAAUUGAAAAUGCAUCAUUUCAUUUAGCCUUGUUUGUUAAAGAAUAUCAGCAGAGCAGAAACUUGCAGGAUAAUUCAAAAACAUCCACUACAAAGUGCAGAAAAAAAGGGACAAAGUCUAAACGCUCAAUGCGUGUGCAAGUUGGCUCAAAAAUGUGUACCAAAGAAACUCAAACUGACCCCCAAAUCACUGGAGUUGAUUUGCCUUUGACAGAGGUACCACCAAGUGGUAACUCAAUUUUUGAAGAACCAAAUCACUGCAAUACCAGUAGGCACAUCAACUCCCAAUCAAAGCGAAGACGAGUCUUCACCUUGUGAGAGUGAUCAUCAUGCUAGCAUCUUUGAUAGAA